AGAGUUUGAUCCUGGCUCAGGAUGAACGCUAGCGGCAGGCUUAAUACAUGCAAGUCGAGGGGCAGCGCGGUAGCAAUACUGGCGGCGACCGGCAAACGGGUGCGGAACACGUACGCAACUUACCCCUAACUAAGGAAUAGCCCAUAGAAAUGUGGAUUAACACCUUAUAGAACAACGAGAUCGCAUGAGAUUGUUGUUAA
rnacentral:rRNA from 1 species